AUUAGAUACCCUGGGUAGUCCACGCAGUAAACGAUGGAUGCUAGCUGUCCGGGGCGAAUGAGUUCUGGGUGGCACAGCGAAAGCGUUAAGCAUCCCACCUGGGGAGUACGCCGGCAACGGUGAAACUCAAAGGAAUUGACGGGGGCCCGCACAAGCGGAGGAACAUGUGGUUUAAUUCGAUGAUACGCGAGGAACCUUACCCGGGCUCAAACGGCACAGUGAUACUUUUGAAAGGAGGUAGCUCUACGGAGACUGUGCCGAGGUGCUGCAUGGUUGUCGUCAGCUCGUGCCGUGAGGUGUCGGCUUAAGUGCCAUAACGAGCGCAACCCCUACCGACAGUUGCUAACAAGCGAAGUUGAGGACUCUGUCGGGACUGCCGGCGCAAGCUGCGAGGAAGGCGGGGAUGACGUCAAAUCAGCACGGCCCUUACGUCCGGGGCGACACACGUGUUACAAUGGCGGGUACAGCGGGAGGCCAUGCGGCGACGCAGAGCGGAACCCGAAAACCCGUCUCAGUUCGGAUUGGAGUCUGCAACCCGACUCCAUGAAGCUGGAUUCGCUAGUAAUCGCGCAUCAGCCACGGCGCGGUGAAUACGUUCCCGGGCCUUGUACACACCGCCCGUCAAGCCAUGGGAGCCGGGAGUGCCUGAAGCGCGUGACCGCGAGGAGCGCGCUAAGGUGAUACCGGUGACUGGGGCUAAGUCGUAACAAGGUACC
rnacentral:rRNA from 1 species